UACGGAGGGUGCAAGCGUUGUCCGGAUUUAUUGGGUUUAAAGGGUGCGUAGGCGGGCCUUUAAGUCAGUGGUGAAAGCCGACAGCUUAACUGUCGAAAUGCCAUUGAUACUGGGGGUCUUGAGUACAGUAGAGGUAGGCGGAAUUAAUGGUGUAGCGGUGAAAUGCAUAGAUACCAUUAAGAACACCGAUUGCGAAGGCAGCUUACUAUAGUGUAACUGACGCUGAGGCACGAAAGUGUGGGGAUCAAACAGG
rnacentral:rRNA from 1 species